GCUUAAAAAAUGACUGCAGGCUACAUAGCUGGACUGGCCAUCGGGCAUACCGGGCAUUUGCCGGUGAUUUUUCAUUCAUUCGGUGCACAUUCGGUCACUAAAAACGGAGAUUUCUAAAAAUGCCUGUCAGGGUGGAUAUUUUCGAAAACUCCGUUUUUGCAUUUACGCGUGGAUGAGGAAAACGGAGAAAACGCAGCGUCAAAGAUGUGCGCCUUUUUUUUUUUUUAUGUCAAACUGUGCGCCACGUUUUGUUUCGGUGAAAUGAAUUUCUACAAUACUGUUAAUUGUACUCUGCAGUGUUUAAAUGCUUACAUAUACACACACAGUUACUGUCCCUCCACACAUACGACUCGGUUCUGCUUCUACGCCCCAUCUUUGUUUACUAUUUCCCACCGAGGCUUCUAGACUUCUGAUUGGCCAAUAUUUCUACACGUUUAGGAAUAUAUCAGCACCUGUUGCUUUGGCAUGCUCCUAGCAGCGUUUUCCUUCAUUUCUGCAUUUACAUGUGGAUGGGAUUAUUUUUUAAAACGAAAACGGAAAAUCUCUGUUUUCAAAAAUACCCGUGUACGUGUGGAUGUAGCCUCAGAAGCACGUAAAAAUUCCAAAACAUGUACAAAAGACAACAGAAGUGCUCCAGAAUGCUAGGCACAGUGUUGAGCUUUGUUACCUAGAGGCUACACAAGCCAGCAAGUACCAACGACCGGUGUGUGGUAGUAAGAGGAGGGAAUGUCACAGACACACAGACAAGUAUAAAUAAAGAACGCAGACAGUGAUGGGGCGCAAGUCUUGCGUUCCAUGACUGCCCUCGCGAGUGAAAAACUGCAGUGUUUGUGUUUUCUAACUCGGGUGUCUCAGCUGAAGAACUGUGGGGAGAUUCUUAGAAAUCCCCUGUCAUCUACAAAAAAUGAAAAAAGAAGAAAAAGAAGCAUCAAACAAAAGCUUUGACUAUAAUGUGUCGUGUUAUUUUACUGACUGUCACGGGUUGCCGGGGCAAGCCGUGUGAGAAUAUAUUAGGACCCAAAAUGCGGCAGCUCUGGUGCAGGUGAGUUUAUUUAGCAAUGUGAAUACAAACAGAGAUGGCGAGGGUGAGCAAAACUAAGAAAACCUAAACUGGGAACAACUAAGGAAAACAAACCUGAAACCUUGAGAUAAGAAACCGAGAUGCGCGGAGACGAAGAGAAAACAGGGAAAACCACACAGGACGACGGAGGGAGAAUCACAGGAAGAUGGAGGGGAGCAACACAGACGAAGCAGCAACUACAAAGACAGAAGACGCGACUUAAAUACACACAGAGAAACACAGGGAGAUUACACACAGGUGGUGGACACAGCUGGGAGUAAUUAACAAGACGAGACAAAAGGUAAAACCGAACACAUUCACAUGAGACGCAGACCUUCACAAUAAAACAGGAAACAAGAGAUCACUACACGAGGAUGCAGACAGGACACUGAAAGACAGAGAAUAAAACACAUGGAACCUGAACUAAACAUGAGGGCGAGAUAACAAAACCUAAACCAGAAGUAAUAAUCAUCAUCAUAAUCAUUAACAGCACUACAAGAGAAUAUGAGAACAAACCAUGACAUAAUAAACUCAAAAUACUGGGUCCAACGGACCCAGAACCAUGACACUGUCCAUGUGAGUGAAAACACCUAAGCGCCUUCACAGCAUCAAACAAACAUACAAGAUAAGGUUCCAAGAUAUGGCGAGGGCUCUCAAAAAAAGAACUCCAGUAAGGUCAGAGUAUGAACCUUAAAACAAAAGUAAGAAGUGUCCCAACUCAACCUCAGUUCUGUACAUUCAAAGGCCAGCGCUGACUGAUGGGGAAAUGUAAAGGGCAAUAAAAUGCUGCAGAAAUGUCACUGCAUGCCCACUUGACUGGGCCUCGUCAUUCCCUUAAGACUCGCAGCUUUCCUGCUCCAGUGAGACCUGUAGUAGUAUAGGGCAUCUCCCCGUCAAUGCCCGGCUGAAAUAGAGACAAAGACACUACAGGUCACAAUAGAACAGUAAUGUCAUCUUUAGAUAUAGUUAAACACAACUGCAGAUCUGAGAACUUUGGGACUCUGAAUGUAAAUAAAUGUAAAUAAAAACAGAAUGCAAAUGAUUUUAUUCACAACAGAUCAAAGAAAAACAUAUCAAAUAUUUAAACUGACACAUUUUACUAUUUGAUGAAAAACUGUUAAAAUCUGAUUUUUAAAUUUAAUGGCAGCAACAGAUCUCAAAAGAAACUGGGACGGAUGAAGAAAAGUCUGGAAAAGUAAGUAACACUAAAAAGAAACAGCUGGAGCAAAACUGUAAAGACGUAAAACAUCUCAUCAUCUACAUGCCUGUGAUAGUCGGGCCCUCAGGGAGCAGUUCAUUAAAUAAAAAAGAAGACAUAAUUCUGUCAAGGCAAUCACUACGUGGGCUUGGACACUUCUAGGAAUCACCGUAUGUGAACAUAGUUCACUGUGCCAUACAGGUUAUGCAAAGAAGAAGCCAUAUAUGAACGUGAUCGAUCAAUGUCACCAUCUUCUCUCAUUUAAAAUGGACUAAUGGAAAAGUGCAAAACUGUUCUGUG
ensembl:lncRNA